rnacentral:rRNA from 1 species
CCUACGGGAGGCAGCAGUGGGGAAUAUUGGACAAUGGGGGGAACCCUGAUCCAGCCAUGCCGCGUGUGUGAAGAAGGCCCUCGGGUUGUAAAGCACUUUCAGUGAGGAAGAACGCCUGGUGGUUAAUACCCAUCAGGAAAGACAUCACUCACAGAAGAAGCACCGGCUAACUCCGUGCCAGCAGCCGCGGUAAUACGGAGGGUGCGAGCGUUAAUCGGAAUUACUGGGCGUAAAGCGCGCGUAGGUGGCUUGAUAAGCCGGUUGUGAAAGCCCCGGGCUCAACCUGGGAACGGCAUCCGGAACUGUCCAGCUAGAGUGCAGGAGAGGAAGGUAGAAUUCCCGGUGUAGCGGUGAAAUGCGUAGAGAUCGGGAGGAAUACCAGUGGCGAAGGCGGCCUUCUGGACUGACACUGACACUGAGGUGCGAAAGCGUGGGUAGCAAACAGGAUUAGAUACCCCGGUAGUC